UUCUAAACCGAAACUAAAUACAGUUCGUCGUUUGUGUCUCCGAGUCGGUUUUUGUAAUUUCUGUUGUGAAAUUUGACUCCGUGUUGAAUGACGCCUCGAAACAGGCACUUGCUGUAAUUCAUGAUAUUUCACUAUGAACACAGAUUUAUGUUGCAUAACAGAAUAACAAAUGACAUUGGCAUCAAAGAAUUGUAUCAUUUAAAGACUGAAGGAGAAUGUCAUACAGGACAGAUAUGAAUCUUUUUAUAUAAAUCUCUGACAAAUUA